rnacentral:rRNA from 1 species
AUUGAACGCUGGCGGCAGGCCUAACACAUGCAAGUCGAGCGGGGUUUUCGGACCUAGCGGCGGACGGGUGAGUAAUGCGUAGGAAGCUACCCGAUAGAGGGGGAUACCAGUUGGAAACGACUGUUAAUACCGCAUAAUGUCUACGGACCAAAGUGUGGGACCUUCGGGCCACAUGCUAUCGGAUGCGCCUACGUGGGAUUAGCUAGUUGGUGGGGUAAUGGCUCACCAAGGCGACGAUCCCUAGCUGGUUUGAGAGGAUGAUCAGCCACACUGGAACUGAGACACGGUCCAGACUCCUACGGGAGGCAGCAGUGGGGAAUAUUGGACAAUGGGCGCAAGCCUGAUCCAGCCAUGCCGCGUGUGUGAAGAAGGCCUUCGGGCUGUAAAGCACUUUCAGUAGGGAGGAAGCGUUGUGUGUUAAUAGUACACAGCGUUGACGUUACCUACAGAAGAAGCACCGGCUAACUCUGUGCCAGCAGCCGCCGUAACAC